rnacentral:rRNA from 1 species
UCCGUAAGGGGUACCUGCGGAGGGAUCAUUACACAACAAAAAUAUGAGGGUGUGGUUUGCUGGCAACAGCGUCCGCCCCAAGUAUUUUUCACCCAUGUCUUUUGCGCACUUUUUGUUUCCUGGGCGAGUUCGCUCGCCACCAGGACCCAACCAUAAACCUUUUUUUAUGCAGUUGCAAUCAGCGUCAGUAUAAUAAUUCAAUUUAUUAAAACUUUCAACAACGGAUCUCUUGGUUCUGGCAUCGAUGAAGAACGCAGCGAAAUGCGAUACGUAGUGUGAAUUGCAGAAUUCAGUGAAUCAUCGAAUCUUUGAACGCACAUUGCGCCCUUUGGUAUUCCAAAGGGCAUGCCUGUUCGAGCGUCAUUUGUACCCUCAAGCUUUGCUUGGUGUUGGGCGUCUUUUUGUCUCUCCCCUUGUUGGGGGAGACUCGCCUUAAAACGAUUGGCAGCCGACCUACUGGUUUUCGGAGCGCAGCACAAAUUUGCGCCUUCCAAUCCACGGGGCGGCAUCCAGCAAGCCUUUGUUUUCUAUAACAAAUCCACAUUUUGACCUCGGAUCAGGUAGGGAUUCCCGCUGAACUUAAGCAUAUCAAUAG